GGAUGUGAAGGUGAUCUGGCUGUGACAUCUGUCACCCCGUUGAUCAAUAGGGUUGAUUUGGCUAAUGUGGCUGGUUAGGUGAGUGUCCCCUUCCUCCCUCACCACGCCAUCUGUGUCCCUCCCAAAGCUGCAUGUUUAGUCGAAAGGGACAGCCUUCUCCGAUUAGAGACAAACCAGUCUUCUGGGUAUACAAGUAGCUGCACUUCUCUGCUAGAACCUCUAAACAAGGUCUCAAGUUCCAAAUUCUAUAAUCUCCUAGCCAUCUCAUCUUUUUUGGUUCCUAUUAUCAUUCAGA
ensembl:misc_RNA 7SK 7SK RNA